CAAGUUUUUCCUAUAAAUAGCCCUUCCAAAACUCAUCUUGAAAUCACAAAAACCUCAUUUCCUUUCUCUUACUCUACCCAAAAAUAUUCUUAACAUCCUUCUAAAGUUCUAAACCUCGGAGAUCUAGGCGAAGUUCUGUCCGUAACGCUAGCCUACGAAAACCUUUUAGGAAGCUAACAAUUUCGGUUGUUUUAUCAAGACGCAAGGUAAGAGGCCCCAAAUAUAAAUCGUUGAUGAGUAUACGUGGAGCCAACAUGACUGUACAUAUGGGGCUGACCUGAAGGGAGUGGAGUUCUGCUAUGCUAUUUCAUAAAUAAACAAGAAACUUGGUUUUAUUAUAUUUCA